GUAGCUCUCUAGCAAUGGUCCCUAGCAGAAAAGGAGGCACAGAGAUGCAGAUGGAGAAUUCAGAGCAUGGAUUGCAGGCAAGUUCAGUGCAAUUCAAGGAGCCCCACAUACCAAUGCUGAGAUUUGAAGAGCUAAGCUGCUAGGAUGCACCCUCUUUGUCUAUUCACAGCUCAAAUCCUAUAAAAGACUAUAUCCAAGAGUACCAGAAAAACAGGACAUUUCCAAUAAAGUGGAGAUGGUGCAUGAAUAACAGGGGGUGACGUUCUGCAGUUCUGGAGGCUGGAAUUCCUAGACCAGAGUGUCAGCACAGUCAACUUCUGGAUAGGAGCUGAAUUUCCUACAUUCGAACUACCACUCUUUACUUGAUCUUAGCCAAAAGGCUUAGAGAUGAUCUCUCCAAACCGCUCUUGUCAGAAUCUGCCUGGGUGAGCCUUUUUGAAAUAUAUCUCCUCGGCUCCUUCUCUCCUCUAGACACCAACCGUUUAUUCUUAAGGCCUGGGCCCAAAGCUCUCAUCUGUUCUGUAUUCUGUUAUUUAAUAUCCACAAGGCUUCAUUGCUAAAUAUUCUACUUGUUCCCUACCAUCAAG
rnacentral:lncRNA from 1 species